rnacentral:ncRNA from 2 species
CCCCGGAAGCGGGGGUGCCCGGCAUGGCCGGGCUGAGACAGUCCCUUCGAACCUGAUCCGGCUCGCACCGGCGUAGGGAAGCUUCGUGGCGCGGAAU